rnacentral:rRNA from 1 species
UACGGAGGAUGCAAGCGUUAUCCGGAAUGAUUGGGCGUAAAGCGUCCGCAGGUGGCUAUGUAAGUCUGCUGUUAAAGAGUCUAGCUCAACUAGAUAAGAGCAGUGGAAACUACAAGGCUAGAGUACGUUCGGGGCAGAGGGAAUUCCUGGUGUAGCGGUGAAAUGCGUAGAGAUCAGGAAGAACCACCAGUGGCGAAGGCGCUCUGCUAGGCCGUAACUGACACUGAGGGACGAAAGCUAGGGGGAGCGAAUGGG